GAAUUGCAGAAUUCCGUGAACCAUCGAAUCUUUGAACGCAUAUUGCGCUCAACCCCCCGGGGAAGAGCAUGUCUGCCUCAGCGUCGGUUUAACC
rnacentral:rRNA from 1 species